rnacentral:rRNA from 1 species
AGUGAACGCUGGCGGUAGGCCUAACACAUGCAAGUCGAACGGCAGCACAGUAAGAGCUUGCUCUUACGGGUGGCGAGUGGCGGACGGGUGAGGAAUACAUCGGAAUCUACUUUUUCGUGGGGGAUAACGUAGGGAAACUUACGCUAAUACCGCAUACGACCUACGGGUGAAAGCAGGGGAUCUUCGGACCUUGCGCGAUUGAAUGAGCCGAUGUCGGAUUAGCUAGUUGGCGGGGUAAAGGCCCACCAAGGCGACGAUCCGUAGCUGGUCUGAGAGGAUGAUAGGCCACACUGGAACUGAGACACGGUCCAGACGCCUACGGGAGGCAGCAGUGGGGAAUAUUGGACAAUGGGCGCAAGCCUGAUCCAGCCAUACCGCGUGGGUGAAGAAGGCCUUCGGGUUGUAAAGCCCUUUUGUUGGGAAAGAAAAGCAGCAGGUUAAUACCCCGCUGUUCUGACGGUACCCAAAGAAUAAGCACCGGCUAACUUCGUG